rnacentral:lncRNA from 1 species
AAUAACAAAAUGAUAUUCAUUCAUUCAAAUUGAUAGAUUACAUCAAAUACAACCACAUAAUCAACAUCGCUAAAAACAUAAAGGAUGAAUCUGCGAACAAAACUCACAGCAUCCGAGUUAAUAGUAUACAACGGCAAAAUGCCUACAACAAAUAAUAUGAUAAAGUUAAAGUCACCGAAGUAUCCAUGCCUCCAGAUCUGCAGCGUUGAAGCCCAAAUCAUUGGUUGAAUCUGUAAUUGACUGAAGCCGAUCUUUUCAAUAGAAAUCAAAUGAACACCGCAACAAUACGGGACAACAAAAACGUCGCNN